rnacentral:rRNA from 1 species
GACAGAGGGUGCAAACGUUGUUCGGAAUUAUUGGGCGUAAAGAGCUCGUAGGCGGCUUGUCACGUCGAUUGUGAAAGCCCGAGGCUUAACCUCGGGCCUGCAGUCGAUACGGGCUAGCUAGAGUGUGGUAGGGGAGAUCGGAAUUCCUGGUGUAGCGGUGAAAUGCGCAGAUAUCAGGAGGAACACCGGUGGCGAAGGCGGAUCUCUGGGCCAUUACUGACGCUGAGGAGCGAAAGCGUGGGGAGCGAACAGG